UGAACGCUGGCGGCGUGCCUAAUACAUGCAAGUCGAGCGAACAGACGAGGAGCUUGCUCCUCUGACGUUAGCGGCGGACGGGUGAGUAACACGUGGAUAACCUACCUAUAAGACUGGGAUAACUUCGGGAAACCGGAGCUAAUACCGGAUAAUAUAUUGAACCGCAUGGUUCAAUAGUGAAAGACGGUUUUGCUGUCACUUAUAGAUGGAUCCGCGCCGCAUUAGCUAGUUGGUAAGGUAACGGCUUACCAAGGCAACGAUGCGUAGCUGACCUGAGAGGGUGAUCGGCCACACUGGAACUGAGACACGGUCCAGACUCCUACGGGAGGCAGCAGUAGGGAAUCUUCCGCAAUGGGCGAAAGCCUGACGGAGCAACGCCGCGUGAGUGAUGAAGGUCUUCGGAUCGUAAAACUCUGUUAUUAGGGAAGAACAAAUGUGUAAGUAACUAUGCACGUCUUGACGGUACCUAAUCAGAAAGCCACGGCUAACUACGUG
rnacentral:rRNA from 1 species